GGUCAAGCUACAAAGGGCUCACGGAGGAUACCUAGGCACACAGAGGCGAUGAAGGACGUGGUUACCUGCGAUAAGUCUCGGGGAGUUGGAAGCACACUUUGAUCCGGGAAUUUCCGAAUGGGGCAACCCCUUGAACGACCAACUGAAUAUAUAGGUUGGUGCGAGCUAA
rnacentral:rRNA from 1 species